rnacentral:lncRNA from 1 species
AGGCAUUCUGUGAUUAGAAGUACAUCUCCAGCACGUGCGUUCAGAUCUGGAUUGCCAGGUUUUCAAAACAAAUCUUGCCCACUUGCUUCUCAAAACUACUCCAAAACUAGCCCGAUCACGUUUCCAGGAGGUCAGCAUGGGCUAAGCUGCUGUCGAAUCACAACACAGGAACCGCUGGCACAAUCAGAACUUGUUACGUAUUUCUGAUGGAGGGUGUCACAGUCUUCUUUUUCUGUCACUGACUUUUGUGAGUGUUGUGUUUGUUUGGUGCCAUGUGCUUUUGUCCUGUCUCUUUUCUUACUCCGCCUAUCUUGUUACCUCAUCAUUGUUUUAGUUGCUACACCUGUGUUUCUCCCUUGCUCCCAGACUCAUUUACCCUCACUCUGCACACAUGUCUCUCAAUCACACACACAGCUGUUGCUCAUUGUCAUGGACUAUAUAUUCUCGUCUAACACACCACUCUGUCUGGCUGUAUAAAUUGUUACUUGUUACUCGUGUCUUGCGGUUGCUUUUGAUUCUAAUCUUGUCCUGGAUAUCUGUUCGGUUUUGUUUUUGUCUUGUUUGCUUUUUGUUUAAUUUAUAUAAAAGUAAUUGCUUCCCUGCAUUUGGACCUUCGCUGCAUUUGGUUUCUUCCUCGGCAUCUUUCGCCGCGCCGUGACAGAAUACAGCCAGCCAACAUGGGUCCAGCAGGGAGGUUUCUCGAUGUCCACCAGGGAGAUCGGGCCAUCAAGGAUUACGCCAGGGACUUUGUGGGGGUGGCUCAGUGGUAGGCUAUGGAGAGGACUUGCUGUAUGGUGUGCUUCUGGGGAGGCCUAGCCGAGCCGUUCAGGUCCCUAAUGACAUUCUGGCAACCCGGGGAGACCUUGGAGGACUAUAUCAACCUGGCUCUGCAGUUCGCUCUGGAUUGUUACCUUCGCACACGGAUUAUCAUCACCUCCCUCGGAUCUACCACCACCGUCAAUCCUACCAGCGCACUCAACUCCUACUCACCAGUCUGUGCUGCCAUCGAGGUUCCUGCAUCACUCUCCAACCUUCCAUCAUCACAUCUUUUACAAUAAACUCUGUUUACUUGCUUUUGCCUCCUGUCUCACUUACUAAGCGU